UCUUGAAGAUAUGAUGAUUAAUAAAGAGAUAAUUCAAUAUGAUCAAUUUAUCAGCACUUGUAGCCGCGAGGAACCUUGGGCCUGCACUGAUUCAAGAGCAAGUUGACAGAAAGCUUGGGGAUGUCGAGUUUGAUCAAAUCCAAGACGUUGAGUUUGAGGGAAGUGCAAAGACAGACACGUGCUUGGACUCUAACCAAAUCACCAAGGAGGCUGCAGCAUGGAUGGUUUGGAGUGGGAACAAGUUCGCCAAGGUUCACUUUUGCCAAGCCAUUCAACAAAUCAACGCAUGCAUCCAACUUGAGGGUAUUCUUUGGACAUGAUGAAGAUGAUGACGAUGAUGAUGAUGAUGAUGAUGAUGAUGAUGUAGCUGAUGAUGAUGGGAUUGAGGUAGCAAUAAUAAGCACUGUGAAGAAUAGUACAAGAGCUUUCGAUGCUGACGCCAUUUCGAAUGAUAUCUCUCUCAAUUUAAUGUUGAAUAAUAUUUGUGAGUAUUAUUGAUUGUGCUUAUUGAGAUGUGAUGAAAAUAAUGGUGAAGAGUUUUGGGUUUUUAUAGGCUAUCCAUUUGGCUUUUAAAUUUUUUUAAUUUCCACACCAUUUACACGUACGUAUAUAGAUCAUCGCUUUCACGUCGCUGGCACGAAUAGCAUAAAACAAUUACUAAUAAAAUUUCUAAUUAGUUCCAACUAGAUUUGGAGAUAAUGCAAUAAUAUUCCCAUAUAAAAUUGAUAACAUUUUUCUUUUAGGAGUGGAGAAUGGGUAGAGUUUCAGAUAAUUUUUUAGUCUCUUAUCUCUAGAAUUCGAAUUCAGAUGAUUAGUAAAAAUAAGCUUGCUUGAAGCCAUUCGGUCGAAUUCGUAAAGGCUUUUUUUUUUUUUUCUUUUUAAGAUAAAGGUAUAUAUACAACCUAAAUCAAAUUUUUAACCAUUUAUCUUUGUUUAAUAUUCAAACUUCGAUUGCUAAUAAAAAAAAAAAAGUUUGAUAACAUGAAAUUUAAUAACAUGACAUCCAAUGUAUUGUUAAGAAAUCUAUAAGUAAUCAUUCUUCGGCCACCUCACUAGCAUAUGAGGUUAUCGAAACAACUAUUAAUUUGAUUUGGUUGCAGAGCUGUAAUAAGAUCUUGCACGUUCGGAAGAGAUCUUGGCAGAGAGGAAGCACAUGUAUUACAAGUUUACAACUAGAUGGAUAUUUAUAUAAAAUCACGUACAAUAUUAUUUUUUGAAUUAGAAGGAUAUUUGUAUAAUUACUUCUUUGAUUUAGGAUAAACUUUACUUAACAUUUCAAUGAUAAAAAUGUAAAAGAAGUUAAAAAUGGCUUUGGCUAAAUGAACAAAAGUAACAGCAUAGUCUUUUAAGGCAUAUUUAAGAAUACAACUAUCCGAGGACCAAUUAGGUAAUUAAAUAAAUCUUAGAUAAGAAAAGGGAGUUUUCAGCUAAAUAAAUAAGACAUGGAAGUAAAGUAGACUGUAAGUGAAAAUCUUUGGCUAAAUUUUGUAGCACAUAGAUUUAAAUCUUUGACCACUAGACCGGUAUUAUAUUUUUCAAUUACAUCAUCAAACAUGAGUAAAAAUAAUCAAGUUGGAUGUAUGUGUUGAUUUGGAGUGGGAACAAGUUCGCCAAGGUUCACCUUCGCCAAGCCAUUCAACAAAUCA
rnacentral:lncRNA from 1 species